rnacentral:rRNA from 1 species
AUUGAACGCUGGCGGCAGGCUUAACACAUGCAAGUCGAGCGGGGAAAGGUAGCUUGCUACCUGACCUAGCGGCGGACGGGUGAGUAAUGCUUAGGAAUCUGCCUAUUAGUGGGGGACAACAUUCCGAAAGGAAUGCUAAUACCGCAUACGCCCUACGGGGGAAAGCAGGGGAUCUUCGGACCUUGCGCUAAAUGAUGAGCCUAAGUCGGAGUAGCUAGUUGGUGUGGUAAAGGCCUACCAAGGCGACGGUCUGUAGCGGGUCUGAGAGGAUGAUCCGCCACACUGGACUGAGACACGGCCCAGACUCCUACGGGAGGUAGCAGUGGGGAAUAUUGGACAAUGGACGAAGGCCUGAUCCAGCCAUGCCGCGUGUGUGAAGAAGGCCUUUUGGUUGUAAAGCACUUUAAGCGAGGAGGAGGCUACUUGGAUUAAUACUCUAGGAUAGUGGACGUUACUCGCAGAAUAAGCACCGGCUAACUCUGUGCCAGCCGCCGCAGUAAUAC